rnacentral:rRNA from 1 species
UACGGGGGGGGCAAGCGUUGUUCGGAAUUACUGGGCGUAAAGGGCUCGUAGGCGGCCAACUAAGUCAGACGUGAAAUCCCUAGGCUCAACCUAGGAACUGCGUCUGAUACUGGAUGGCUUGAAUCCGGGAGAGGGAUGCGGAAUUCCAGGUGUAGCGGUGAAAUGCGUAGAUAUCUGGAGGAAUACCGGUGGCGAAGGCGGCCUCCUGGCUCGACACUGACGCUGAGGUGCGAAAGCGUGGGGAUCAAACAGG